rnacentral:rRNA from 1 species
CUGCAGUCGAGCGAAUCGAUGGGAGCUUGCUCCCUGAGAUUAGCGGCGGACGGGUGAGUAACACGUGGGCAACCUGCCUAUAAGACUGGGAUAACUUCGGGAAACCGGAGCUAAUACCGGAUACGUUCUUUUCUCGCAUGAGAGAAGAUGGAAAGACGGUUUACGCUGUCACUUAUAGAUGGGCCCGCGGCGCAUUAGCUAGUUGGUGAGGUAAUGGCUCACCAAGGCGACGAUGCGUAGCCGACCUGAGAGGGUGAUCGGCCACACUGGGACUGAGACACGGCCCAGACUCCUACGGGAGGCAGCAGUAGGGAAUCUUCCGCAAUGGACGAAAGUCUGACGGAGCAACGCCGCGUGAACGAAGAAGGCCUUCGGGUCGUAAAGUUCUGUUGUUAGGGAAGAACAAGUACCAGAGUAACUGCUGGUACCUUGACGGUACCUAACCAGAAAGCCACGGCUAACUACGUGCCAGCAGCCGCGGUAAUACGUAGGUGGCAAGCGUUGUCCGGAAUUAUUGGGCGUAAAGCGCGCGCAGGUGGUUCCUUAAGUCUGAUGUGAAAGCCCACGGCUCAACCGUGGAGGGUCAUUGGAAACUGGGGAACUUGAGUGCAGAAGAGGAAAGUGGAAUUCCAAGUGUAGCGGUGAAAUGCGUAGAGAUUUGGAGGAACACCAGUGGCG